rnacentral:lncRNA from 1 species
AUUAUAUUUUUCUGAUCCCUCUAAAUACCUGUUAAUGUGGAAAAAAAAAAAAAAUUAUGACCCUGACCACUGGAUGCUUAAAAAAGUGUUUGAGUUUAAAAUAGCCAUUAAAUGUAUGUGACCUCAUGUGUGAGGGCAGCAAGUAGUGUUGCAAAGUUAUUUUUAUCUGCCCCAACUGCUGCUCUCUGCUGUUACUCUGCUGUAAUCUUAUACUGGGCAAGUAAAUGUCAGUGACAAAAUGAGAGCUGGGCUCUGAUUUACACACUCAGGCAGGAUUCCUGGUGAACUUUGAGUUUUCCAUGGUUUUUCCUUAGCAAGUACCACAGGUAUCGUUUCCAUUUUCAGAAUUGCCUGAAAGAAGUUGAGGCCCCAAAAAUAUUUGGUGAUUUUUAGUUCUGACUGAGCUCUGCAAAUGCUGCCUCAGGCAAGGUGUGGGUAAAGCAGAAAUUCCCAGCUCCUUGUCUAAAAAGGAGUUGGGAAAUAAUGAGACACUGUGUGGAAUAGACACUAUAGAAUGAGCAGUCCAUUAUUUACAUUUCUUUUGUUUGUAAAAUCAGCCUUUUUAGAUGUGGCAGGAAUUCAUAUGCAACCCUCUCUGCAUUUUAGGAAAGGAAUGGUUGAAGCUGAAAGAAGGGCUUAGCUGAGAAAUCACUGCACGUGGAAAGAGUUGGGUUUGCUGCAGUUUGCUCCAAAUCCAGGUACCACCAAGACAGAAAAAUUCCAGCUUCUCUUUUAAGGUUGAACACAGGCACCAGCUUAUUUUCUUGGAGGGAAGAUAUUUAGGAGAAAAAAAAAUCCCUUUAACAGGUAAUUUAAAUUUCUGGAAUGUUACCUUUCUUUUGAGAACUAAAGCUGUAACAAAAUCCAUCUUCUUCAAGGCUUUGCUGGGGCACUGGGGGGCUCCUGCUCCUGUGGGGUGCUCACUUGAGGCCAGGGCUGGUCUGUAAGGGCUGUGGGGACAUCCUGCUAGUGGCCACAGGGCCAGGCAGGGUCUGGAGCACCUGGCACAGCUGGGGGGGCUCACCUGGAGCAAAGGAGGCUCAGGGGGGACCUUGUGGCUCUGCACAACUCCCUGACAGGAGGGGAUAGCUGGGGGCAUCAGGUUCUGCUUCCAGGGAACAGCAGGAGGAAAAAGGGCUUCGAGUUGUGCCAAGGGAGGUUUAGAUUGGAUAUUGGGAAAAUUUCUCGAUGGAAAGUGUCUGGUCCUGGCACAGCUGCCCAGGGCAGUGAUGGAGUCCCCAUUCCUGCAUGGAUUUAAAAUCCACGUGGAUGUGGCACUGAGUGACAUUGGUUAAGCGGUGGCCUUGGGGAACAGCUGGACUUGAAAACCUUAAAGCUUUCCUAAACCUAAACCUUUCCAUAAUUCCAUGAGACUGACUUGGAUCGAGCAGAGCACCAGGACACGGGGCUGUGACAGGGGGCAGUGAGGAGAGGACAGGACAGGACAGGAGAGGAGACAGGACAGGAGAGGAGACAGGACAGGAGAGGAAACAGGACAGGAGUGGAGUGGACAGAACAGGAGUGGAGUGGACAGAACAGGAGAGGACAGGGCAGCACACAGAUGCUGUGGCCGGUGGGCUGCUGCGUGCCCGGCGGGCGGUGCCUUUAAGGGGCGGUCGCGGGGCGGUGGCUGUGGCGGGGCCGGGGCGGCCGCGGUCCGGGUUCCCCCC